ACCUACGGGGGGCAGCAGUGGGGGAUAUUGCACAAUGGGGGAAACCCUGAUGCAGCGACGCCGCGUGAGUGAAGAAGUAUUUCGGUACGUAAAGCUCUAUCAGCAGGGAAGAAUAAUGACGGUACCUGACUAAGAAGCCCCGGCUAACUACGUGCCAGCAGCCGCGGUAAUACGUAGGGGGCAAGCGUUAUCCGGAUUUACUGGGUGUAAAGGGAGCGUAGACGGGCUGACAAGUCAGAUGUGAAAUCCGGGGGCUCAACCCCCGAACUGCAUUUGAAACUGUUGGUCUUGAGUAUCGGAGAGGC
rnacentral:rRNA from 1 species